AUAUAUAUGAGAAUGCAAAUGAACUUUCCAAGCAAUUAUUUUGCUCAGUAUUUGUAUGACUGGUUUGUCAGCAUUUUGUUGAGACAAUGAAUUCAAUUAAAAUUAGUCAUUGAAUGGAGAUCUAUUGAGUAAUUUACCUAAAACCUAAAAUAGUAGCCUUUAAAGUCAUAUAGAAGUGAGUUUUCCAUAUAAGAUAAAAUUAGUUUAAGAAAAUUAAACUUUGGGGGGAAAAUCCCUUAAUAUUAUCAGGAUGAAAGACUCUCAUAGAAGUUAUCUAGUAUGAGUUCUUUUUUUUUUUUUUUAAAGAUUUAUUUAUUUAUUUGAAAGGCAGAAUUACAGAGAGACAGAGGGAGGGAAGGAGAGGGGAAAGAGAGAGAGGGAGAGGGAGAGAGAGAGAGAGAUCUUCUAUCCAUUGGUUUACUCCCCACAAUGGCCAGAGCUGGGCUGAUCCCGAAGCUAGGAGCCUGGAGCUUCUUUCAAGUCUCCCAUGUGGGUGCAGAGGCCCAAGGAUUUGGGCCAUCUUCUACUGCUUCCCCAGGCCGUAGCAGAGAGCUGGAUUGGAAGUGGAGCAGCCCGGACUUGAACCAGAGCCCAUGUUUGAUGCUAGUUCGGCAGGCGGAUUGUUUAACUUACUAUACCAUAGUGCCAGCCCCUUGUAUGAGUCCUUUUAAUAGGAUUGUGUGUUAGCCAUGCUGUGCUAAAGGUGGCACUCAGGCAACAUCAGAGCUGAACUUUUCUGGAGAGACCCAGAAUCCAUUUGAUCAGGAUGUUAUAGCAUUCUUUAAAAUGUGAUCCAGGCAAAGUAUCUCCUGGUGAGCAGCUGUUCUGGGGAGAGUCUGUAAAUGCUUUGCAGAUGAGAAGUGGACUCCUAGUGACUAGGUUAUGGUUAGUGGGAGAGAAACGAUGUGGACCAGGGAACAGAGUCUGAAGAGGAAGCCUUAAGACAGAGGCCCAAGUGCAUCAUAGAUAAAGAUUUUGAUUAUGACUUAAGAUGUGUCCUGCUACCUCAGCUUCUGUUUCAACCUGUGGUCAUUUAACUUCAAUGUAAUGUAAGAAGAAUGUCUGCCUUCUUCAUUUGAUGUUUUUCAUAGAGCUUAUAGUAUGUAUAACUGGCUAGAGAGCAGACAGAAUCCUGGUGCUAGUUUCCCUGCAUAUUGGAGUAGCCAGUAACUGAUAUUAGGUGAUAAUCUUGAUAAUGGUUCGAAGUAUGGUUUGGUAGAGUAUAAGCUAUACCUGUAGGGUAUAUUUUUAAAAAUUUCAUGUAAGAGAGAAAAUUACUUUCUUUUUCCUUAAGUAAAGCAUGGAAUUUUUGUGCGUCACUAAACCUUGAUUUUUAGUUUCCAGUUGACUGGUUUUCCACUCUGCUCCCAGCAGUUGUGAUGUCCCAGUAAGAAUGGAGAUCAGCAAUUCCCAUCAGUUUUUUCUCAUCCCUGCUGUGGGAAAUAUACAUAUUAGAUCUGUGAUUAUCAACCCUAAUUAAUUUGGUUUCAGUAAUUGCUGUACUCUAUUAGAACAGUAAAUAGUCUCCUUAGGAAUCCUUGUAACGCAUGUCCAGUGAUCUCCUCCAUAUAUUCCAGUUAAAACCAUCAGUUCAUUUAAAAUGGAAUUCAAUAGUAAAUGAGAAUGCAUUAUUCAUAUAGUCAUCUUAAUCCACAGUUUACAGUUAGAGUAUCUUUGUUUUGACUUGUUGGGCCUUAUCAGUUUGAAUGGUCUUCCUGUUUAUUUGAAAUUGAUGUUGCCUCUGCUCAUGUUCUUGAGGAUCAAAGGGGAAAACAUGCUUGUUGGCUCACGUCUACUUAAUUUGUUUCUCUUCUUUUCCUUUCUAUUUUAAGAACUCUUGCUUUAUCUUAUGUCCUUAGUUUCUUCACGAGUGGAUGAAAGGUAAAACCUAUUUGCUGACAUGAUAAAGUCCUGCCUUCCCCUACUGCCUGCGUAGCACCACCCCUUGCACUACUGUAAAAUGACUUAUCACCUGUAGAUGGAAUGCCUAAGUUACAACAUUAAUAAAUUUCUAGACCUUUAGUUCAUUCAGACAGUAAAACAAGAAGCACAAAAAAGUAUAAAUGAUCUUUAUAACACAAAACAAGUUAAAAAAUAAUAAAAAACCAACCAGCAUCCUAGGCCUGCAGUUGAUAGUCUAAGUCUAAAAAUAAAAUAAACUCCUCCAAUUCCUAGGGAUGGGGUGCUCUUCCCCAUCAUCCAGGUAGUGUUAUUUCACCAGCUGAACAGUUAAAAGGAAAGUAGAAUUUAAAAAUAUUGACAUAGUGGGGCUGGCGCUUUGGUGUAGCGAGUAAAGUCACCACCUGCAGUGCCAGCAUCCCAUAUCUGGAAGAAGCUCCUGGAUCCUGGCUUCGGAUUGGUGCAGCUACGGCUGUUGUGGCCAUUUGGGGAAUGAACCAGCCAAUGGAAGACCUCUUUCUCUCAAUCUCUCUCUGCCUUUCUGUAACUUUGCCUUUCAAUUAAUAAAAUAAAUCUUUUAAAAAUGAGAUAGCAUAGGCCAGCACCGCAGCUCAAUAGGUUAAUCCUCCGCCUGCGGUGCCGACACCCCGGGUUCUAGUCCGAGUCCGGGUGCUGGAUUCUGUCCCGGUUGCCCCUCUUCCAGGCCAACUCUCUGCUGUGGCCCCGGAGUGCAGUGGAGGAUGGCCCAAGUGCUUGGGCCCUGCACCCGUAUGGGAGACCAGGAGAAGCACCUGGCCCCUGGCUUCGGAUCAGUGCGAUGUGCUGGCCGCAGCGCACCGGCCGCGGCGGCCAUUGGAGGGUGAACCAACGGGAAAAGGAAGACUUUCUGUCUCUGUCUCUGUCUCUCUGUCUCUCUCACUGUCCACUCUGCCUGUCAAAAAAAUAAAAAAUGAAAAAAAUGAGAUAGCAUAAAGUUUAUUUUAUGUGCAGUUUUAUUCUGAGAUUUUUUUUAAUAGAAAGCUUUUAUUUAAUAAAUAUAAAUUUCUUAAGUACAACUUUUGGAUUAUAGCAGUUCUUUCCCCCCAUACCUGCCCUCCCACCCCCAAAUCAUCUCACUUCCUACUCCCUCUCCCAUCCCAUUCUUCAUUAAGAUUCAUUUUUUAAAAGAUUUAUUUAUUUACUUUGAAAGUAAGAGUUACACAAAGAGAGAAGGAGAGGCAAAGAGAGAGAAAGAGAGAGAUAUAGAGAGAGAGGUCUUCCAUCUGAUGGUUCACUCUGCAAUUAGCCACAGUGGCCGGAGAUGCCUAAUCAGAAGCCAGCAGCCAGGAGCUUCCUUCGGGUCUCCCACAUGGGUGCAGGGGCCCAAGGACUUGGGCCAUCCUCUGCAGCUUUCCCAGGCCACAGCAGAGAGCUGGAUUGGAAGUGUAGCAGCUGGGUCUCGAACUGGCGUCUAUAUGGGAUGGCAGCACUGCCCAGCCCCAAGAUUUAUUUUUGAUUAUAUAAAGAAGAUCUACUCUAUACUAACAUAAAGAUUUCAACAGUUUGCACCCACACACACAGGCACACAAGUAUAAAGUACUGUUUGAAGACUAGUUUUACCAUUAAUUCUCAUAGUACAACACAUUAAGGACAGAGGUCCGAGAUGGGGAGCAAGUGUACACUGGCUCCUGUUGUUGAUUUAACAACUGACAUUCUUAUUUAUGACGUCGGUAAUCACCCAAGGCUCUUGUGAGCUGCAAAGGCUAUGAAAGCCUCUUGAGUUGACAAAUCCGACCUUAUUUAGACAGGGCCAUAUUCAAAGUGCAGGUUCUCUCCUCCCUUCAGAGAAAGGUACCUCCUUCUUUGAUGGCCUCUUCUUUUCACCAGGAACUCGCUCACAGAGAUCUUUCAUGUAGAUCAUUUUUUGCCACAGUGUCUUGACUUUCCAUGCCUGAAAGAGAUUGCCUAAAGUUUGACUACAUAGCCCAUUCAUUUGUUAUUUAUUUAUUUAUUUUUUGACAGGCAGAAUGAACAGUGAGAGAGAGAGACAGAGACAAAGGUCUUCCUUUUCCGUUGGUUCACCCUCCAAUGGCUGCUGCGGCUGGUGCACCGUGCUGAUCCGAAGGCAGGAGCCAGGUGCUUCUCCUGGUCUCCCAUGGGGUGCAGGGCCCAAGCACCUGGGCCAUCCUCCACUGCACUCUGGGGCCACAGCAGAGAGCUGGCCUGGAAGAGGGGCUAGUGGGACAGAAUCCGGCACCCCGACCGGGACUAGAACCCGGGGUGCCGGCGCUGCAGGUGGAGGAUUAGCCUAUUGAGCUGUGGCGCCGGCCAAUGUUACAGUGAUGUUUUAUUAUGUGAGGAUGAAGCCAUCAUUUGCUCAUAUGUUUCUCUUUUUUUUCUUUAAAAUAUUUAUUUCUUUAUUUGAAAGGCAGAGUUUCAGAGAGGCAGAGAAAGAGAAAGAGAGAGGUCUUCCAUCCGCUGGUUCACUCCCCAUAUGGCUGCAAUGGCCGGAGCUGAUCCUAUCAGAAGGCAGGAACCAGGAGCUUCCUCCAGGUCUCCCAUGCAGGUGCAGGAGCCCAAGGAAUUGGGCCAUCUUCUACUGCUUUCUCAGGCUAUAACAGAGAGCUGGGUAGGAAGUUGAGCAGCAGGGAUUUGAACCGGCGCCUAUAUGGGAUGCCUGCAUUGCAAGUGGCGAUUUUACCUGUUAUGCCUGCCACAGUGCCAGCCCCUAUAAAUUUCUAUUAGCAAGUAUAGCAAUUUUCCCCACGCAUAGACUUCUUUGAUGUUAGGAUGAAAAGGCCAUUAAGUAUUCAAUGAUAAGUUUUUGCUUAUUUUUCUUUAAGAAUGCAUGAUUUUUUUUAAAAGACAUUUAUUUUUUUGGAAGGCAGAGUUACAGAGAGGCUGAGGCAGAGAAAGAAGGAGAGAAAUCUUCCAUCCGCUGGUUCACUCCCCAAAUGGCUGCAAUGGCUGGAGUUAGGCUGAUCCAAAACCAGGAGCCAGCAGCUUUUUCAUGUCUCCCAUGUGGGUGUAGGCGCCCAAACACUUGGGCCAUUUUCUGCUGCCUUCCCAGGCCAUAGCAAAGAGCUGGAUCAGAAGUGGAACAGUUGGAUCUUGAUCCGGCACUCUGUGAGAUGCAGGUGGCAGCUUUGCCCACUAUGCUGCAGCCCCGGCCCCAAGAAUACAUAGGAGAGUGAAUUUAUUCUGAAAAUGAUGCCUGACUUUAGUAUUUGGAUUUUAUUUCUUGUUGAGCCAACUCAAAGGAUUAGAUAAAUGAUUUAUGUAAAAGCUUAAGUCAGUAGAAAAAUAUUUCAGUAUUCAUUAGAAUUCUUUAUUUGUGGGUGGUAGAAAUUCCACAUGUACUUCUUUAAACAAAAGGGGAAAUGUGCAAAUCCUCUUCUGUGGUCCAGGCAGCAGGAAGCUGGCCCAAGGUUGCUAGCCUGCAGGUCAGGCUUAGACCAGCCUUCCCAUGCCUGUUCUGCUUGGAAUCAGUUGCACACCUUGAACUUCUCGACUGCUAUUUUUGGGAAGAAAUUGUGUCCUGCAGUAAAGGAGAGGUUACUGAAAUAAGUAUUGCUACAAUGCUAAACCAAAGAAAAGUUUUAGAAUUGUAUACAGUCAGCCCUCUGUAUUCCUAGGUUCCGUAUCCAUGAAUUCAACCCAUUGCCACUUAAAGUUAUUUGGGGGAAAAAAAUUUCCCUGAGCUGAAAAUAUACAGACUUUUUUCCUUGUAAUUAUUUCAUAAAAAACACAGUGUAGCAACUAUUUAUAUAGCAUUUAUAUUACAGUAGGUACUGUAAGUAAUCUAGAGAUUAUUUAAAGUAUAUAGGUGGAUGUGUUUAGGCUGUAUGCAAAUACUGUGCCAGAUAAGGGACUAAGCACCCAUCAACUUUGGCGUCCAUGGGCAUGGAGGCUUCUGGAACCAAUCCCCAUGGACAUUGGGGGAUGACUGUACUUUUUUGUAUGCCAGAGCUGGUAAUUAGAAAAUGCUGUUCUUAAUUUUCUUGGGAUAUGGUGAAAACUGACAUAUGUAUAUUCCUGUCUUUAGUUUUGUCUAGAGAAUUAUUGAACCCAACAAUAUGAUAUUAACAAAGCAUUUUUUCUAUUUCUUUUUUUUGGAGGGGGGGCCAGGGGGUUUUGGAGGAAAAUGAUCCAUGAUUAGGUUACUAAACAAAGGUUCUAAUUUUAUGCUAAACAUUUUAAACAUCUGAACAUGAAGUACUCAAAAAGUAAUAAUGCAGUAUUUUGUAAGGGAAAAUUUGAAAACAAUGAUGUGUGCUUGAAUUAUGUCUUAAUAAGUCAGGUUUUAUUUUUAAAGAUUUAUUUAUUUAAAAGACAGAGUUACAGAGAGGGAGAGACAGAGGAAGAGGAAUCUUCCAUUCUCUGUUUCACUCACCAAAUGGCCACAACAGCCUGUUUUGGGCCAGAUCAAAGCCAGGAGCCAGGAGAUUUUUCUGGGUCUCCCACACGGGUGCAGGGACCCAGGGAAUUGGGCCGUCUUCUACUGCUUUCCCAGGCACAUUAGCAGGGAGCUGGAUCAGAAGUGGAGCAGGGGCUGGUGCUGUGGCGAAGCAGGUAAAGCCAUCGGCUGCAGUGCCGGCAUCCCACAUGGGCGCCGAAUUCGAGUCCCAGCUGCUCUACUUCCAAUCCAGCUCUCUGCUAUGGCCUGGGAAAACAGUGGAAGAUGGCCCAAGUCCUUGUGCCCCUGUACCCGCAUGGGAGACCAGGAGGGAUCUCCUGGUUCCUGGCUUCAAAUCAGCCCAGCUGUGGCCAUUGCGGCCAUCUGUGGAGUGAACCAGCGGAUGGAAGACCUCUCUCUCUCUGUCUGCACCUCUGCUUCUGCCUCUCUCUGACUCUGCCUUUCAAAUAAAUAAAUCUUUAAAGAAGAAAAAAAAAGAAGUGGAACAGCUGGAACUUGAACCAGUGCCCAUAUGGGAAGCUGGCAUUUCAGGCAUUGGCUUUACCCACUAUGCCAUGGCACUGGCCCCAAUAAGUCAAUUUUAUAUAGAUUAUAGCAAAGUUAAAAUCCUGGAGUUAGGAGCCUAUUAAUAUCACACAGAAAUAUUUAGGGAAAUUUCUAUAACUGUUGGAUUAGAAAGUUAAAUGCAAGUUUUUCCUGCUAAUAAUUAAUAUUAUUAUUAAUAUAUAAAUAACUGUAAAAUAAUCAAUAUUAAUAUACGGUAAUAUGUUAAUAUAUUAAUAUUAUCUUUGCAAUAAAUUAGUGGUAACUUUUUUUUUGUUCCGUAAGAAAAAACAUGUUAUUUAUGUAGUCUACAUAGUUCCUUGAGUGUCUCUAAACUAGGCAUGAUUGAGCUCCAGGCCAGGCCAGAAGCAGAGUUGUAACCAAUUCAUUACAGUGCAAGUAUUUGUACUUAUAGUUUCUAUAGUAAUUUUACUGACAUCAUUUAAUAUCACAAAGUGAGACCAUUCAUCCUGGUGAAUUGCUUAAUGAAUUAUAAUUCCACUACAAAAUCUGAAUCAUGACCCUGUAUGGAAUGAGAGUGAAAAAGCUAACAUCAAUCAUCUGUCUUAAGAGAUGAGGGUGCCAUCUGUCUUAGGCGACUGUGGCUCUACGGAUCCAUCAGGGCAGACUCAGAACACAGGUCAGUUUGCCAGGCAGAGGCAGAAAGCAGUCAUAUUGUCAAGACAUGUUCAGGAGCCUGGACAGUCAGAAUUGUAGUGGGUAUCUGGUCUGUAAACAAUUAUGGUCCAGACAGGUUGUUUACAUGAGGAGAGCAUCUGAGGUCCCUAUGUGCUGAGAUUAUCUGCAUGGUAUAGUGGCUGCCUCCUCAGCAUGACACAACCUAGCAGGUUAUCUGCUUUAUACUCAGUCUACUUUCAAUCAAAGCUAGGUUAGCAGACGCAGGUGCUCAUGGGGCCAGGCAGGUACUGGGAAAAGUGAAACUGGCUUGAAGUAACAUAGUAGGGAGUGGUGAGAGCUGUAGUGAACUAGCCAGCAUGUGCUGCAUACAAAGGCAGAGCUGCUAUCCAGCUACACAGUUGUUGCCCAUUUGUAGCCUGUGGGCCUCUUGUUGCCAGACAUACGGCUGUUAUUAAAUGGAGCCCAAAAUCUCAGGUUUUUUUUUUUUUAAUAUGAAAUGGCCUGCAUUAUGAGUGAUGGUAGAUAAAUACUGUUUAAAAGCAUUGUAUAGACUGAAUCGAAUGCCUCUGUUUGCCAUGGCCAAGGGGUUCAUCUGUACACUUGCUCUAAUGCCCAGUAGUCUCUUGGAAUAGUCUGUUGGACAUUCUAUGCCCAAUAGAUGGAGCAUAGAAGAUUCUUCUUAUGAACACCCAUUUCAAGUGAUGCUAUCAUUUUUUCAUAUAGUUAGGAAAAAUUGGUAAUGGCAUAAGCAUUACAGAAGUGUGUGUGUGUGUAUGAGACAGUCAUAUUUGGUUACUUAUUAUCAAGAAUUGAGUUUCAGUAAAUCGGCAAAGUUGAAAUUUCUCAUUCUUCUCAUCUUCCCUUAGAAUAGGGGACCAAGGAGAGAGGAGGAUUUUGCACUCUUUGCAGCCAGAGUAGAAUUAGACUGAUUAAAGUCCAUGGAAGAUUUUAUGGACAUGGGGGGAUGGAUGGAAUGAAAUCUCGCAUUGUCCUGUAUUGUUUGAAAGUCCCUUUAGUUUUACCUGUUUGCUAGGAAGGAGAUUGUUAAUCUCCCCCAACUACUCUAUUUAUUUAAUGUCCAACAAGCUUCUUAGGGUGAUAUGUGUUGAUUAUAGUUAUUUCUUAGCAGGCCUGACAGCAAACACUAAAAAGCCCUCUUACCCUGUUAAAUGAGUGUAUAUUCAGAAGUUUCCCUUACAAAGAUUUUUCUCUAAAGCGAAAAUUAGAUGAUGCCUCAGAAUUUGAGAACUUUUAGUUCAGAUUUUAUUUUUUUUUUAUCCAAUAAAGUGACACUAAGCAGCUUUUGGGAGAAUGCUUUAACUCAUUCUUGUGCAAUCUGGCUUUAAAGCAAAACAGUUGUCUGGUACUUGAAAGAGCAUAAAGAAUUCACAGGGAACCCUCAUUUUCUUAUCUUCAAGGAAAUAGUUUCUGUCUAAUCAAAUAGGAGUGGGCAUGCUUUUAUAAAAGUAAGAAUGUGUAUGUACCUGGAAGAAAGUGCCAUAAAAGUAGGUGCUGUUUAUUCCUGUAUAAGUCUGAUUUAUUGCUGCUAAGUUUGAGCCAUAAUUUACAUUUGAGAUGUAAUCACAAAGAAAGUGGUAAGAUGGUCUGGAUACUUACUCUGUGGGGAAGUGAUCUCUGUUCAAUUAGUGGGGGACCCAUUCUUGCUUUAGUUAAUUGUCCUUGUCCCACUUCUCUUCUGUUGAGAGAAGCAGGGCUUCGAGAGCGGUACUCUUUAGAUCAGGGGCCAGCAAGCUUCUCUAAAGAGCAAGAUAGUAAAAUCCUGGGCUUGUGUGCCAUAUGGUCUCUGUCACAACUUCUCAGCUCUGCUGUCAUAGCAUGAAAGCAGCUACAGACAAUAUGUAAAUGAAUGAGUGUGGCUCAGUUCCAAUAAAACUUUAUUUUCAAAAACAAGCAUUGGGCUCAAUUUGGCCUACAAGCAGUAGUUUGGUGAUCCCUUUAGAUUACAGAAGGGAGUCUUUCUUCACAAAGGUCCUGGAGCUUCAUAGAUAGGACAAGGAUUUGGUUCCAUGAGUGUGAGUGGUUUCUAUACCAUGUUCUCUUUGUUUAUAUAUAUUUUUUUUAUUUUUUUUAUUUUUUUGACAGGCAGAGUGGACAGUGAGAGAGAGAGACAGAGAGAAAGGUCUUCCUUUGCCGUUGGUUCACCCUCCAAUGGCCGCCGCGGCCGGCGCACCGCGCUGAUCGAUGGCAGGAGCCAGGAGCCAGGUGCUUUUCCUGGUUUCCCAUGGGGUGCAGGGCCCAAGCACCUGGGCCAUCCUCCACUGCACUCCCUGGCCACAGCAGAGAGCUGGCCUGGAAGAGGGGCAACCGGGACAGAAUCCGGCGCCCCGACCGGGACUAGAACCCGGUGUGCCGGCGCCGCUAGGCGGAGGAUUAGCCUAGUGAGCCGCGGCGCCGGCCUCUUUGUUUAUAUUUUAUAGCACCUUCAACUCUCUCAAAGUUCUCCCUCCCCUCCUUCCUUGCUUCCUCCCUUCCAAACCCUCUCUUAGUUCUUUUUAUUUGAUAGGCGGAGCUACAGACACAGAGGCAGAGAGAGAGAGAGAGAGAGAGAGAGAGAGAGAAAGAGUUCUUCCCUCUGCUGGUUCAUUCCAGGUGUAUGAGAGACUGGAUGGAGUUUCUGGCCCCUGGCUUAGGCUUGGCCAAGCCCUGGCUGUUGUGUACUGUGGAUAGUGAAUGAGUAGAUGGAAGAUCACUCUCUUUCUCUCUCUCUCUGCUUCUCUCACUAUCUACGCUACCUUUCAAAUAAAUAAAUAAUUCCUUUUUUUAAAAAAAUAAUAAGUCAGCUAUUUCUAUGAUCUGAAUGUUUGUGCCGCCCCAAAAUUCACAUUGAGUCCUGGCUCCCAAGAUGAUGGUAACAGGUUGGUGGAACCUUUGGUAAGUGAUUAGGUCAUAGAGGCAGAACCCUCAUGAAUUGGUUUAGUGCCCUUAUAAAAGAGGUCCCAGAGACUAGCCAGCCCCUCCUACUGUGAGAGGUACCAUCCAUUAACCAGGUGAAGCUGCACCAGACUGAAUCUGCCACUGCCUUGUUUAUGGUCUUCCCAACCUCCAGAACUGGACUCACGUACUUGGGCCAACUUCUGCUGCCUUCCCAGGUGUAUUAGCAGGGAGCUGGAUUGGAAGUGGAGCAGCUGGAACUCUAACCAGGCUCUGCAGCUGGCAGCCAAAUCUCAGGGCCCUCACAACUCUGCGCAUCAGAUCCCAGCCGUGACAGGAGCCCCUCCCUUGCUCUGGUUCUUCUGUAAUUGCCUCUCUGUAUUUUUAAGCUUAAAUAGCCUGGUCCUUUCUUUGCCUAAGUGAAGGAAGUACGCACAUGCACUCACACAGCGUGGAGCGACUUUUGGAGGAGCUGACAAAGAAUGUCUUGACUUGUGUGGUUCUUUUCAAGGAUGUUUUCUUGGACUCAUUCACUAGGCUAUUGAUGCGUUACGUGUAUUUUCUGUAUUUGCAUUUUAUUUUGCGCUAAAAAGGUAAGAUACUUUUUAAAAAGCAAGACAUUGAAUAAGAGAGUUUUGAGGAUUACAUUUUCUCUUCAUUUGCCCUAUUACCUUUUAUUUAGAAACCCAGGGCCGUGAAAUUUAUACUACUGUAAGAAAAUCUCCUUCAGAGUCACCCUUGGAAAGGGAUCCCUACUUCCAUUCAAAAAAUAUAUAUUGAAUCUUUAUCGUUCUGUGAGUCUGGCCUUGUCUUUGAUACUGAAGAUAUAGAUGGUGGCAAAUAUAAACAUGUAGUCCGAGUCUUCACCAUGCUUUAUUAGUCAUAUCAAUAAUAUCACAAUUUCAAAGUGUUUAUUCUUUGGUGUACUGUUUGAGACUAUUAUCUUAACAAUUUAUAUUUAUAUCUGAAGCCAUUGACAUUCUUCUUGGUAGACAUUUAUUAAUAGGUAGCAUAUAAAGGGUGGAUGUUGUGACAUAAUGGGUUAAACCACUACCUGGGACUCCUGUGUCACAUAUUGGGGUGCGUAGUUAUAAUCUGGGCUAAUUGGCUUCCAGUACAGCCGCUUUUUUUUUUUUUUUUUUUUUUUUUUUUUUUUUGACAGAGUGGACAGUGAGAGAGAGAGAGAGAGAAAGGUCUUCCUUUUUCCGUUGGUUCACCCCUCAAUGGCUGCUGCGGCCGGCAUAUCGUACUGAUCUGAAGCCAGGAGCCAGGUGCUUCUCCUGGUCUCCCAUGCAGGCGCGGGACCCAAGGACUUGGGCCAUCCUCCACUGUCUUCCCAGGCCACAGCAGAGAGCUGGACUGGAAGAGGAGCAACCGGGACAGAAUCCGGCGCCCCGACUGGGACUAGAACCUGGUGUGCCAGUGCCACAGGCAGAGGAUUAGCCUAGUGAGCCGCGGCGUGUUCCCCAGUACAGCUUCUUGCUACUGUGUAUCCUGGGAGGUGGAGGAGGGUCGCUCAAGUGUCUGAGUCCCUGCUGCCCAUGUGAGAGUCCUGGACAGAACUCUACAGGCUCCUGGCUUCAGCGUAGCCCAGCUCUGGCUGUUGUGGGCAUUUGGGUGAUGAACCAGUAGGUGGAAGAUCUCUGUCUCUGCCUCUUUUUCUGUCAUUCUGCCUUUCAAAUAAAUGAACAUUAAAACAAAUAGGUAAUAUAUUAGUUAUUUAUUACUGUGGAAUAAACUAUUCCAAAAUGUAGUGGCUUAAAACAGCAAAUCUUCAGUAUCUCCCUGUUUUUCUGGGUAAAAAUUGGGCAAUGACUUAGCUGGGAUGUUCUGGGUCAAUGGCCCUCAGGUGGUUGUGGUCAGUAUGCUGACAGUGGCUGUAGUCAUCUGAAGGGUUAACUGGACCUGGAGGAGUCAUUUCUAAGGUGGCUCACUCAUGUGACUAUUGGCAGGAAGGCCCAGUUCCUCGUCAUGUGGGCCUCUCUGUAGGCCGCUUGAGUGUCCUCACGACGUGGAACCUGGCUUCUUCCAGAGCAAGCGGUCCAACAGCUUGGACCUUGUGACCUCAUGUCUGAAUCUGUCACCGGGGUUUCCUUCUGUUCACUUCAUUGGAAGUUAUUUAAAUCCAGACCAUAUUUAAGGGAAAUGGAAUGAAUCUCUGUAUCUUCAAGAUAAGAAUAUCAAAGGGUUCAUAGAUGUAUUUUUAAAACCACCACAUGAGGUAUUAGGUAGGUAGAUAGUUGGAGAGACAGAAAUAGACUAGAUUUUUUUUAAAAAGAUUUAUUUAUUUAUUUGAAAGUCAGAGAGAGGGAGAGGGAGAGAUACCUAGAGAGAUCUUCCAUCUGCUGGUUCACUUCCCAGAUGGCUGCAACAGACAAGGCUGGGCCAGGCUGAAGCCAGGAGCCAGGAGUGUUUAAAGAAUAAUGGUAAGAAAAAAAUUAUGUACAUGUUCAGCACAGGUAUAAUUAAAUUUUGAUCUGCUAUUGGUUGGAUUGGUGGAAUCCAUGAAUGCACAAUUUAGAGAAAUGGAAAGCUGAUUGUAUAUACCCAAUAAGAAUGCCUUUUAAAGAAAAAUAAGUAUGUGUAUAUUUACACACAUAUGUAAUAUAUGAAAUGAUUUAAUGAUAAUGUAGAUGAGUUCUCAUAUUAUUUGAGUGGACCCUACUUUUUCUACUGUUUAUUUAAAAAAAAAUCAUGAUCCACAUAAUAAUAAUUAGAAUAUUAAAUCUUAAGGAAACAUUAGAGGAGAUAUAAUUCUGGAACUCAUUCUGUUUUUGUUCAGAAUAUAUAUUUUACUUGGUAUGAUGAGACCAGCCUAAUAAAGAAUAGAAACAGACUUGUGAUUAUGUAAUAGCCUGCAAUUAUUUUUAUGGCUAUUGCAUUCCGAUCUUCUUAUGCAAUAUUUACAGUGUACAUGUGUAGCAAGGGCAUAAAAAUACAAGUUUGAACAAUCUUAACCGUAAAUCAGAACCAAGUCACGCAAUGUAACAUUUGUGAAAUCCUUUGGCUAAUGCAGACAACCUUUGUUCAGAAUACAUAAAAUAUCAAGUUACAGCUUUGUGGUAGAUUUGGGAUUUUAUGUGUAAGUUCUAAAACCUGAUUACCUCCACCCCAUCAUUAAAGAUUCUGCCAAGACAAUUUGAUAUUGAUUUAAUUGUGAAUAUGGUAAAAAAAAAAAAAAAACUCUUAUAUCACAUUUUGAAAAAAAAAUGUUUUAUAUAUUAUAUGAAUGUGAUGAGAAUUUUUCAGCAGAUAUGGCUACAAAAGAUUAUGAUUCAGCCUGAAAACAUAACCUAUGGAAAGUCAUCAACUGUACAGAAUGAGCUCUUCAGAUGACAGAUCUUACUAAGAAAAUCUGCCAAUGAAAGAUAGAGAGUGCUAGAAGAAAAAGAAUCUCAUUGACUUUCAACAUAUGGCCCCGACACUGACAUAUCUUAUAGUUUUUAGUGAAUAGCAACUUAAAAUAACUGGAUUGAUGAAAACUAAAAAAGCGAGUGCAUGAAUUUUAAAACUUCUGCUUUGAUUUUUUUUUCAUUUUUAUUUUACAGGGUGUUGUAAUGGAGAAUAACAUAAAUAUGUCUAAGAGAAUGAUGAAGGGGUAUUUCUUAAUUACAUUUUCACCUUUCAGAAUAAUAGAUUCUUAGCACACUGAAAAUAAAGACAUCUAUCUGUGUAAGUUAAUACAGGUAUGAGGAAAAUCCCCCAUCACCUAUUAUCUUCAUUAUUGAAUCAGUCGGCUAUAUACUUCCUGCAUUUAUUCUUUUCUUCCUUUCUAUUCUCUGCAAUUCCUUCUCUUUUUUUAAGUGUUGCAGUGAGUAUUUAAAAAAAGAAAGGGGCCACUAUAGAUCAUCUGAUUUAUUUUCUUGGUAUUAGGCAGAUUAUACAAUAUAUCUGAAAGUCUGUGAUUAUUAUCUUAUAUACCUAUUUUUUUCCUUCAUUCAGUAUUUAUUGAGUACCAACUAUGUGGGAAGCACUACACUAGAGAAAUCUAUAACUUACAGGGCAAAUGAUGUCUGAUGUAUUUUCAGAUAUCUUUGGAAUAUAAUAGGUUACAGAGUUAGAGCCAGUUAUGCUUACAGGUCAUAUCUACUUACAACCUUUCCUUCCUUGAAAUGGAACUGAUUCAGAGUGGCAUUCCUUCUGGUGAGCUUCGUUCUUCCUAAAUUCCCAACAGCAUGGGAAUUGUGGUGAUAAAUUAGAGCAGCAUCGGCCCAGCAGGAACAUUGGCUGUUAAGUAACUGGGAACCGUGGAUAAAUGUAGACACACUGUAAUGCCAGCAUUCCAGCCGUGCUGCUUACUAACGGUGGGCCUGGGAUUCCUCAUCUAAAAGAAAAAAAAUGAGGAUGCAACUACCUACUUCGAAGAGUGGCUUGAAGACUAAAUGAGUUAAAACCAGUUAGUUCAGUGAGUACCAUAGAGUCCUCCAUAGCUGUUCUCUAUUAUUAUUCCAGUUACUUUGAUUGUUAUAAAAACUCUUAAAAUGACAGAGCAAAUAUUUACUAAGUGCUAUUUCAGGUUACUAAGAUAUACACAACAAAUCCAAGUUUAGCUGUCACAGGGAAUAAAGUUAAGAGUUAGACCUAUUCUUAGGCACUGUACCAAAUAGCUUCAUUAACCCAACUAUAAUCAAAUUACUUUUUCACUCUAGUUUUCCUUAUUGCUCCAGGAAAUUUUUUUUAAAUUCACACAACAGCUUUCUGGUGUCUGUUUCUGCCUGCUCCGGGGUGCUAUGAAAGCUGUCCCCUUUGUUAGCUAAUCUGACAAGUUUCUAUCCAUGAGCGCCUGCUCUAAUGCUCCGUGCAUGUUUCUUUUUCUCUGUCCCAUUUCCAGUACCUUGGCUCUCCUCAAAAAACCCCAAGGAAGUGUUUCUUUUAUUCUAUUAAAAAAAAAAUCAUUUCUGACUGUCCUAGCCAGAAAAGCUUACUUGUGACUACAGUCUUUGAAGUACUUUCUUUCCAUAUCAAUCUUAAAUUGUCAACAACGUGGCUUUGUGCUAAAAGAUAUUUUCUUUAAAAGGUUGGGUAUACAUUUCUUUCUAUAUAUGGGCAUUUAAACCCAUCAGAACAAAGCAGUGUUUCAUAUGUAAAGUUCAUUGAACUUUGUUCUCAAGUAAAAUUACAUGCAAGAUUUGUGGAUCUGUCUCUUUGCCUCUAAAUAAAAAGAAAUAAAUAUUUUUAAAAAUAACGGCAAGUCUUUGGCCUAGCAGUUGGGGUGCCUGUGUCCCUGUAAUAAGAAUACCUAGCUUCCUGUUAACGUGUGCCUUGGGAGACAGCAGUGAUGGUGCAGGUGGGAGACCUUUACUGAGUUCCUGGCUCUAUACUUUGGCCUAACCCAGCCCCAAUUUGUUGGCUAGCAUUUGGGGAGGGAACAAUCAGGUGGGAGCUCUGGCUGACUGUCACUCUGUCUCUGUCUUUCUGCCUCUCAAAGGAAGAAAAUAAAUUUUUUAAAUGUUUUGUGCAUUUUUGUUUUUGUAAGAUACACAAAAAAGUGCUAAGUCACAGUUAAGCCCUCGGUAAUAGCUCAAGCUUGCGGCCAGACUGCCCACAUUACUUUAUAACCUUGACAAGUUACUCAAAUCCCCAAAGCCCCAGUUUCCUGAAUGAUAAAAUGUAAAAUAGAAAUGUAAAAACCCAUAAAAUACCACCCCUCAAAGUAAGAAUUAUUAAUAUUACUAAUAUUAUACUGUUAAUAAUAUGUUAUUUGUCAAUUCCGACUUUCCUGCUAGUUUUCUUCAUUGGUAUCUCUGAGUUUAUGGUGUAUUGUGGACCUACCUCAUCCUUUACAAAAAAAAAAAAGAGGUUGUAUAGGAUGCAGGGUUUCAUUAAAUGAAUGUGUCACAAUUUAACUAAUGGGCCCUUAGUACCUGAUACUAAGAUUGUUUUCAUUGUUUUGUGGGGAGUGCUGCAGUGAAUAUCCAUGAGCAAUAUGAUAUGGAUCUGAUCGCUAAUUUAGGCUAAAGUCUUAGAAAUGGUAUUGCUGGCCGGCGCUGCGGCUCACUAGGCUAAUCCUCCGCCUAGCGGUGCCGGCACACCGGGUUCUAGUCCCGGUCGGGGCGCCCGAUUCUGUCCCAGUUGCCCCUCUUCCAGGCCAGCCCUCUGCUGUGGCCAGGGAGUGCAGUGGAGGAUGGCCCAGGUGCUUGGGCCCUGCACCCCAUGGGAGACCAGGAAAAGCACCUGGCUCCUGGCUCCUGCCAUCGGAUCAGCGUGGUGCGCCGGCCGCAGCGUGCUGGCCGCGGUGGCCAUUGGAGGGUGAACCAACGGCAAAAGGAAGACCUUUCUCUCUGUCUCUCUCUCUCUCACUGUCCACUCUGCCUGUCAAAAAAAAAAAAAAAAAAAGAAAGAAAGAAAAAGAAAUGGUAUUGCUGAGUUGAGGGAUAUCCCAGAAUUUUUUUUUUUUUUUUUUGGACAGGCAGAGUUAGACAGUGAGAGAGAGAGAGACAGAGAGAAAGGUCUUCCUUUUUCCAUUGGUUCACCCCCCCCAAAUAGCUGCUGCGGCCCACGCGCUGUGCCGAUCCGAAGCCAGAAGCCAGAAGCCAGGUGCUUCUUCCUAGUCUCCCAUGCGGGUGCAGGGCCCAAGCACUUGGGCCAUCCUCCACUGCCUUCCCCAGCCACAGCAGAGAGCUGGACUGGAAGAGGAGCAACCAGGACAGAAUCCGGCACCCCAACUGGGACUGGAACCCGGAGUGCCGAUGCUGCAGGUGGAGGAUUAGCCAAAUGAGCCACGGCGCCGGCCAAUAUCCCAGAAUUAAUACACAAAUAUAAAUACAUUGAUACACACACACCUUACCCAAGGUAUUCCAGUCUCAUCAUUAUUGACAUUUUUGGCCACAUAAUCCUUUUCAUAUUGCUGGGGUCUGUCCCUUGCAUUGCAGGAUGGUUAGCAGCGUUCCUGGCCUCCACUCACUAGAUGGUAGAAUGCUUCUUUUGCUCUCUGUUGUGACAGCAAAAAAUAUCUCAGAUGUUGCUAAAUGCCACCUGGAGGACAAGGUUGCUCAUAGUUGAAAGCUAUUGCAGAUAGAGUACCUGAAUUCUGAGAGAAGGGGUCUCAGAUUAGGAUUUAAGAAGAAAAAUAUAAAUUUAUCCCUUUUUAGAUUUGUGUGUGUUUUUUAAAAAACAGGAUUCUCCCCUGGCCCCUACCUAGGAAAUUGUGCCAUAUUUAGCAGUGGUAAAUCUUCAGGGGACCAAUUUCCCUUUCUCUGGGCUUUUCUUCAUUCUUUUUUCCUUACUGACCUCCAUGGCAUUAAUAGGGGUGAGAGAAGAUGAACAGUGUGAAGUACUUAAGGGAGGGCAUGGUCCCUCCUACAGACAAGAGCCAGAAGCAGGGGCCUGUUCAGCACCUCAGGAGUGCUCUUUAGGGAGAAUGUGGGUUUUCUAGCUCUUGUUUGAGGUAUAAAUUUUCCUUGAGAAUAGUAAGCCUUAUCUAUACUUGUAGUGAAAUAGUCCAUGCAGUGUUGGGGGAUAGAAAGUUUGACACAGACUAGAAAAAAAAAGGGCAAUAUUUGAGUGUGCUUCCUUACAAAGUGUCUAGAAGAGUCACAGAUUUUUUUCAGGUCAAGGACCCUUGGAAACAUUGAACCCUAAAGAUUUCCCAUACUGCAAAGUCUUACAAGGACAACUGUUGCUCAUGCCUGCUCCCAUUUUUAACACAAAGCACACAAAAUAUAGCUUAUGGGAGUUCUAACAUGCUGUGCUUUUCCCUUGAUCACAAUCUGAACUAUUUGGAUCUGACAGAGUGUACAGGACACAGAAUCGUCUUGAUUAGACUGCAUUUCUCUUUAAAAGCUGAGCAGGCUGGUGUUUUGUUUUGCUAUUGUUGCUUUUUAAAAAUGUAGACUGACUAGGACUUCAGGCUCCCAACAAGAUAGCCUUGGAACUGUACAACCUUGGGGCCCCACCCCUAUAGUAAACAGAGACUCCCUGGUACAUAAUGGCGUCCCUUCUAGGCAAGGAAAAUUUCUACUUAGGUAAAAAAGGAUGAAAGGUUAAAUUUUAAAUUAUGGGUUUUAUAUCCUUUAUCCAAAAUGCCUGGGGCUAGAUGUGUUACAGAUUUGGAUUUUUUCAGAUUUUGAAAUCUUUACAUUUCCAUAAUGAUAUUUCUUGGGGAUAGGACAAAAGUUUAGACACAAAGUUUACUCAUGUUUCAUAUACGCCCUGUAUACCUUGCCCCAAAAUAAUUUUUUAGUAUAGUUGUGAUUUUACUGUGACCUGUCACGUGAGAUCAGGUGUAGAAUUUUCCACUUGUAGCAUCAUGACAAUAUUGGAAAAGAUUCAGAGUUUGGAUUUUGAAUUUUGUUAAUUAAUUGGUUGGUUGAUUUUAUUUAAAAAACAGAGAGCUAGAGAGAGAUCUCUCUGAUGCACUGGUUCACUCCCCACAAGCCCACAACAACUGGGGCUGGCCUGGGUUGGGCUAGAGCUAGGAGCCAAAAACCAACCCAGGUCUCCUGUCUCCCAUGGGAAUGAAUGGGACCCAACUACUGAAGCCAUCAUCUGCUGUCUUGCAAGGGUAUGCACUAUCAGGAAGCUGGGAUGUAGAGUAGAGCUAGGACUCAAACCCAGAUACUUCAGUAUGAGAUACAGAUGUCCCGGGCAUCAUCCUAGCUACUGCAGCAAACAUCUACUUGUCCAGUGUAGAGUUUAGAUGUGGUGCUCAACCUGUAUAGCCGCUAUAAAAACAAGACCCUGGGUGUGUGUGUUUGUGUGCACCUAUGUGCAGUGUGUCUUUUAGGGGACAUAAAUUGGUUUUGCUUUCUGAACAAGUUUUGUACUUUUGUAUUUUACUUUUCAUAGAUAUGGAAACCUUUUUUAAACAAAUUUUCAAAUACAGUAUGCAGUAGUUGCCACUUAUAUUUCAGAAGUCAUUGCAAAUAUGCAGCUAAUUCAAAUGGAGGGUUUUUUGGGGAUUUAUGAUUCCUGAAACUAAUAUAAUUGGUUAUAUCAUUUGAAUAAGACUUUGUACUUCCACAUUAUCUCAUGUAUUUUUCCUUUUGUUUGUAUACUUCAUAUUAUAGAUUAUUAGAUUUAAUUAGAAGAUUUUAAGGUAGUACUUUUUUUACACUUAUUGGUUAUAAGUUUUUUUUUGGGGGGACUAACUCCUAUUUCAGUAAUUUAACAUAGUUUACUUAAAUAAUUUAAAUCCUAUGUAAUUACUUGAUAUUUUUAAUAGAAAGUUUUGUCAUCUCAGUUUUUCUGUUCAAAAUAUUCUGUAAAUAUUCUCUCAGAUCCUGUUGUCUUUCAUACUAAAAGUCUUUGCAACCUUCUUAGCAUUUGGGUCUUAGAGACAAAUACUAAAAUUAUCCAGAGCCUUGCCUACUUACUGACAAUAGAAUGCAAUAUAAUUAGUAAUUACUGGGGAUGAAGAGACUAGUUGGUUAUAAAGACAUAAAUGUUUAUAAUAACAAAGCAUAACCUCCUAUAUUUGAAUAUCUUCUUACAGAAUUUUUAAGUAAGGUUUCUCCUCUUUAAGGACUAAAGUUUUAAGAGAUGACUGCUGCUCUUUGUUCCUAUAUGUUUUAUGAAUUUAAAAUAUUUUUAUAGCAUGUAUAAGAUGCUAUUAAAAUUGUAUUAACUUUUUGGCUUUUAUUCCAUAGUAUAAUUAUCUUUGAUUAUAGACUUCAGAAGGUAUUGUACCGUGGAGCUGUUUAUUUCACGAAAGAAUUUCACAUAAGAUUCUAGAACUUACAUUCUAAGAGAUAAGGCUAUCCUUUUUAAAGCAAUUUAAAGCUAAAUAAAUGUUAUUUCAGGGAAAGACUGAAGUAAAUUUUUUUUUGUUACUGUUAAGGACAAUUAUCUCUCGUUUUGUAUAACAGAUACUCUUGAUCUUGGGUUGUUGUGAACACCCAGAAUGUCUAGCAAUACCUUCUUUGGUCAUAUCUCUUCAGUUUCUUUCCUAUCUUCCCUCCCAUUUCUUCAGCCCUACCCUAAAGAAAAUGCUCGGGAAACAGAAUGAAAGUAUUAUAUCAUGUUAUUAGAUUUCCUGUCUUUAGUUCUCUAGAGUGCCAGGGUCUUGGGAAGGAAGGACAAUGUUAAGUGUGGUUUCUAUGAAAUCCAUUAUAUGCCAAGAAAAUUAAAUACACGUGAAGAGGAAUCAAGGAUGACCUCUGGGUUUCUGGCUUGAGUAACUGGGAAUGGUGGUGCCAUUUACCUAGAUGAAAGGAUAGAGAUCGGGGUGGGAUACAAGUGUGUGUGUGGAAUUGGGGGAUGGAUGGGAGGAUAAGCAGGUUGAGGGUUUGACCAAGAAUUCUGGUUUGAAUGUGUUAAUUUGGAACUGCCUUUUAGACAGCUAGAUAGAGAUGCCCAACAUAUAGGACAUGCAAAUCUGGAGUUCAGAAGAGAGGCUGAGGUAGACAUAUAAACUUGGAAAUGUUCAGCAUGAAGGCAUUACUUAUUCCAUUGGAAUGUCUGUGGUCACCCGGGAAGAAGAUAAAUAGAAUGAAGUCCUGAGGGAUAUUUGGGAGUUAAGUAGAGGAGAAGAAGUCAACAAAGGAGACUGAUAAGGGUGGUUGAUGGGAUGGUAGAACAACUAGGGAGAGUCGCAUUGCAGAAGCAAAGAGAAAAGAUGGAUCCGAAGAAGACAUGGUUGGUGGAAUCUAAUGCUGCCGAGCACUGAGAGGAAAAGAAAGGAUAUGGUGGCCACCUUACUCUUCUGUAGUCAUUAAUUCAUUUAAAAAUUAUCUAUUUAUGUAUUUUCAUUUUAUUUGAAAGGCAGAGAGAUGUAGACAGAGAUCGUCAAUCCUCUGGUUCACUCUCUAAAUGGCAACAACAGCUGGGGUUAUAUGAGGCCAAAGCCAGCAGCCCAGAACUGAAUCCCAAUGACCCAUGUGGGUUACAGGGACCAAGUACUUGUGCUGUCAUCUGCCUCUCAAGGUACAUGUUAGCAGGAAGCUGGAAUCGCAAGUGGGGUCAGGGCUUGAACCCCAAUAUUGUGAUAUGGAAUAUGGACAUACUAAGUGGCAUCUUAACUGAUAGGUCAAACACAUGCCCCUCAUUUGUUCAUUUAUUAGUUUAUCAUUAAGCAAAUGAUUCUGAAUUAGGUUCAUUUUACAGUUAUUCAUAUUUGCCACAUGAACCAAUUUUUCAUCCUUUAUAUUCAUGUCAGUUGAACACACAAAUUAAUACAUGUUCCCAAAUAAGUUGGGAAACAUUGAUCUCAACUUCUCCAGCAACUUUCAUUUAAUAUAGAGAAAUUUGCAGAUUAAAAGAACAGAAAUAAAAAUCAGUUCUCAAAAAGCCAUCAAGUAUGCCAGAGUUUCCUCAAAACAGAUUUCAGAAUUGUGACUACUUGGGGAGGAUGAUGGAGAAGAGGACGUGAAGGGGUGGGGGCUCCACAGGCACUUGCUUUGUAUUUAGUGUUGUGUUUCUUUUGUUAAAUCACUGUCUGGACUAUUUCAUUUAAGGAAAAAGCUGGUCAAACUCUUCCACAUGUUUUAGAUAUUUAGCAUUUGACAAUCCAAUGACAAUGUUUAUUCAUUUUCUUCUGGUUGAAAUAUAAGUAGUCAGGAAUUUUAAAAAGGUAAAAUGAAAGCUUUUUGCACUCUUUAUUAGGAAGUAUUGCUUACUAAAGAAAAUUUUUAUGACUUAUUGAAUUAUGUUAUUUUAUGUAAAUCUUUUUGUAUACAGUAAGUAAACAUAUUGUUUGACUACUGAUAAAGUAUGCCCAUUGUAUAUUUUUAAAAAUAAAACUUUGAGAUCUAUGGCUUUGGUCAUGUAUCCUACCUUUAUAAUUCUUUUCAUGGGAAAUUCAGGGCCUAAUUACACUGUUUGAAUUUACAGUGCUUAUUAAGGAUUGUAAUUCUCUGUAAAUGUAAGCACUACCUUUAAUUGAAGUAAGGGUGGGUGGAUUUCAUUUUAUUGAUUAAAACCAUGUCAUAGACAGUAGAAGGUUCAUGUUUGUAUUUUCACAUGGAUCUAUUUUUAAAAACUCAGAAUUAUAUUCUAUGCCUGUAAUGUUUUAUUGGUAGCAGUAUUACCAGUAUAAGUUUAUUUAUUUAUUUUUGACAGGCAGAUUGGACAGUGAGAGAGAGAGAGACAGAGAGAAAGGUCUUCCUUUGCCGUUGGUUCACCCACUAAUGGCCACAGUGGCCGGCGCACUGCGCUGAUCCGAAGGCAGGAGCCAGGUGCUUCUCCUGGUCUCCCAUGGGGUGCAGGGCCCAAGCACUUGGGCCAUCCUCCACUGCACUCCGGGGCCACAGCAGAGAGCUGGCCUGGAAGAGGAGCAACCGGGACAGAAUCCGGUGCCCCGACCGGGACUAGAACCCGGUGUGCUGGCGCUGCAGGUGGAGGAUUAGCCUAUUGAGCCACGGCGCCGGCCAGUAGAAGUUUAUUUUAUACCAUUUUUCAACAUGCUAGCUAAAAAAAAAAAAAGUCAUAAAUCUAUGCUCAUAGUUAACUUUAUGUAUAUAUUUUUUCUACAGAUAUAGUAUACAUUACUUUGAGUAAGGAAUUAUUCAUUUUUUUUAUUUGAGAGGCAAAGAAAGAAUGUACAUACACACACUCCUAUACAAUGGUUCAGUUCCCAAAAGCCCACAAUGGCUGGAGCUGGGCUGGAGCUGUGCUGGAGCUGGGAACUUGCCCACACAGGUGGCAAGAACUCAGUUACUUGGGCCAUGAAUGCUGCUUCCCAGAGUUUGCAGUGGCAGAAAGCUGGAAUCAGGAGCCAGAGCCAGGAAUUGACCCCAAGCAUUCUAAUGAGGGCUAGACUAAAUGCCCACUCCUGUGUAGUGAACUCUUUUUUUUUUUUUUU